GACGUAGGUGGCGAACGUUAUCCGGAAUUAUUGGGCGUAAAGGAUGCGUAGAUGGUGUAGUAAGUUAUCGGUGGCAAAUCGAGGCUCAACCUCGUGGAAGUCGGUAAUACUGCUAUGCUAGAGGAUAGGAGAGGUUAACGGAACUCCCUGUGGAGCGGUGAAAUGCGUAGAUAUAGGGAAGAACACCAAUCAGGCGAAGGCAGUUAACUAUUCUAUUCCUACAUUGAGGCAUGAAAGCGUGGGGAGCAAAACGG
rnacentral:rRNA from 1 species